CACUUUUAAAAAAAAUUUCUCUAUAUAUUCCCUGUGUUUUUAUUAUUACCUAUUCGGGCUAUUGUUUUCGGUGCAAAGCUGAAUUACAAAAAUCGGUGCAUGAGCUGAAUUACAAAGCAUCGAAUUUUUGGUCAGACCUCUUCUGACAUUUUCUGCUGUGUUACCUUUUUUUGUUCCUUCUGUUCUUUAACUAGUAAUAAUAACUUUUCAACCAUACCUGUCAGUUGAAAAGAAAUAUUUGAAUAAAAAAUAAUUUCAUUAUAUUUUUUAUUAUAUAAUAUAUUAUUACUAGUGAAAUACCCGCGCGAUACUGCAGAUAUAAAAAUAUUUUUAUAAUAAAUUUUAUUUUUUUAUAAGUCUAAUUAUUAAUUAAAUAAAAGUUAUAUAAAAAUAGUUUAAUAGUUAAAUCUAUUUAAAUAAAAGAUUAAAAUUGGUAUAUGCGCAAGUAAAUUUAUACAUCAAUUUAUUUUAUAAGGAUUUAUAUGAGAAGGAUUCGAAAUAAAUCUAUCAAAAUAAUUUUUAAAAAUCAAUAAAUAGAAGAAAAAUAAAUUUGUAGAAGAAACUGUUUAAUAAAAUUAAUUAUAUAUAUACACAUAUACACUACAUUUCUAAAAUUUUUCUCUUGAAAUUUAAAUUAUGUAUUUUUUUUAUCCAACGAUAUUUCACAUGAUUUAAAUUGCAUCUAUUAGGUUUUAUUAUGCAAUUUAUUACGCGUAUUAUUACUAAAAUUAAUUAAUUAAUUUCAUAGCGUUUAGAGAUUUAAAUUGAAGUUAAAAAAUUGGAAAUAAAUAUUAUAAGUUAAAAUUAAAAUUUAAAAUUUAAAGUAUAAAAUUUGGAAUUUAAAAAUUUAAAAUAUGAAAGUAUCAUAAUUUUAAAUUUUGAUAUCAAAAUUUAAAAUUUUAUAUUAUAUUUGUCACGCCCCGGAUGUCUCGUUCCCCGGGCACGCCGACAAAUCCGCCGUAUACAAAAGAAUUUCCCCUAUAUACGAAGCGACAUUAGUACCUGUAAAUCAAACACUACUACGAACAGUAGUAGAGAGCUGCUAGAGAAAAUAGAAGUUAAACAAACUGAGUUUCACAUACAUAGUCCAAAUCCAAAAUACAGAGCUACUCGCACUACCGAGUUAAGUCAACUAUGUACAUAAACUCGAAACAAAACAUCUACC
rnacentral:lncRNA from 1 species